rnacentral:rRNA from 1 species
GGAGUUUGGGCCGUGUCUCAGUCCCAAUGUGGCCGGUCGCCCUCUCAGGCCGGCUACGGAUCAUCACCUUGGUAGGCCGUUACCCUGCCAACUAGUUAAUCCGACGCGGGCUCAUCCUGCACCGAUAAAUCUUUCCACCCAAGGCCAUGCGGCCCCGUGUGCAUAUGCGGUAUUAACAGUCGUUUCCAACUGUUAUCCCCCAGUGCAGGGCAGGUUACCCACGUGUUACUCACCCAUCCGCCGCUAAGUUAAAUAAAUCAUCCGAAGAAUCUCUAAAUAACUCCGCUCGACUUGCAUGUGUUAGGCACGCCGCCAGCGUUCAUC